rnacentral:rRNA from 1 species
UACGAAGGGGGCUAGCGUUGCUCGGAAUCACUGGGCGUAAAGGGUGCGUAGGCGGGUUUUUAAGUCAGGGGUGAAAUCCUGGAGCUCAACUCCAGAACUGCCUUUGAUACUGGCGAUCUCGAGUCCGGGAGAGGUGAGUGGAACUGCGAGUGUAGAGGUGAAAUUCGUAGAUAUUCGCAAGAACACCAGUGGCGAAGGCGGCUCACUGGCCCGAUACUGACGCUGAGGCACGAAAGCGUGGGGAGCAAACAGGG